AGUUGUCUAGCAGAAUGAAUACAUAGCGACAUUUGCAACAAGAUGAUAUAUUUAACUUCUAGUGGCUCAUGACCUUCACUUACAAAAUUUCCAAGGAAUAAUGACAGUCGCCGCAUGCAUCCAUGUGCAUGCUCCCUUUAAUCAAACAUCAUACAAACAUAUACAACACUACUAAUGAAGUCGCAUGUUACAGAAACCUGAAGAAGCAAGCUUAUUAUGCUUAAUAUAUGUUUCAACUUCCAAGACCCUGACUGUCCAGGAAAUAAUGUCCCAAUCUACAGGAGUUUCAAACACCCCUCUUGAUGGCUUGGUCAUCUAUUUUAGAUAGGAAAUGAUGAAGUUUAUGGAAGGUGGAGCAAGGUUAUGCUAUAAACAAACCUUGCUCUAUUAGAGGAUAUUCUGUUGGGUCAUAGAGAUUCUCGUAGUCAAACCUCACCGCAUCAUACAAGUAUGUUGGAGCAUCAGCAAUAAGCCCCGGAUCACAGUACUCAGGAAACUCAAUGUUUUGGAGUCCAAGAUUCAUAGCAUAACAAUCACCUUGAACCCAACAGACCUGAAGAUCAUCAUCCAAUGUUGCAAAAGGUGACAGUCCCCAAUUUAUAUUCUUUUGGGUUGACUCCAAGUCCGAUAUGCAACUCGAAUAGGAGGUCUGGUUUUUCAUGCUUGAUGUAUUGAUGGAAAUGGGAUCGAAAGCUUGAUGACUUGCCGCAUGGGUCUUGGUUUGAACAUGACUAGUUUCAAUUGUGCUUCCUAUUGAACUUGCUAGGCUGGCAUUGUUCCUGCAUUCGUCAUUCAAAGGCUUAAUUUUGACAGAGCCUAUAUCUCUUUCAGUUACAGAAGAUCCAGAAAUAAUGGGCGGAGCCGGCUGUGGAUAAUCAGCUUGAAUGCGCUGCUGUUUACCAGGUAGUGUUAGCUGGCUAAGCCCAUCAUCUAAAUGGAGUGGCUUAGGUUCUUGCUUGAGUUGAGUUUGCGGAACUUCACACCAUGAAAACCUUGUUGGGAAGUUUGAAUCAAAUUCUGCAAAGUUUACUUCUGAUCCUGGAGAAAUAAAAGAAUGACCAAAUUCCAUUUGUGAACUCUUGGGCUUACGAGAAUCAGGAACUUCAAAACUUAAAGCUCCUUUGGGUUCUGCAGCACUCUUUGAGACAAUUCCCUUUCUUUCACUGUCAUGGCUUCUAGGCUCCGUAUUUUGGACAAGUAAACUAUUUCCUGGAAAUCCAUAGCUGCGAUUUGCAACAUCAAGCUGUUGCUUGUUGAUCGAGUUCUGAUUACCAAAACUACCAGCAGAAUCUCUCAAAGGUGAGUCUGAAUGCUUUAUCCCACCAACAGAAAUUUUUGUGUCAUUUUCCUUCUGCAAUCUACUCAAAUAGAGGCGGUAUUUCUGCAAGUGGCUUGCAACAUUUUCCCUUGUCAACCAUGGCACAUUCAUCAAGUCAAGGAUUUUCUUUGGACCAACUUCUGCCAAACAGAGAUUACAUGUCAUGGCUCCAUGGAAGCAUGAUAAAGAUGUAGGCCAUAUCAUUGAAAUCACAUAAAUGACAAAUAUACGUCAACAAAUUUUUGUCAAACAUAUGAAGAUCCACAAUUCAUGAUCAUGAUCCAGUGACUAAAUUUUGUGAUCAAAGAUGUAACUGAUACUUACUAUCAAAUCCUAUCUGAUUUACAGCUUCUACAAAUUUCUGAUGAAGGUCUACCGACCAAACUACUCUGGCUUUCUUUGUGGAAGAAUUGUCACCAGGAUCUUUGUCAUCAUGCUUGCUUUCAACAUCUUUUCUUUUCUUGACUGAAGUCAGAUCUUCUCCACAAAGCAAGUGACCAUCAUUGGACUGAUCUAAUCCAUUUCUAGCCAUUUGGAUACUUUCCAUUCCUUCAAGAAUUUCAAUGUCUCUUACCUCAUUUAUCUUCUUUCUUAAUACAUGCUGCCAUAUAUUUCGAAGUUCUUUCAUUCGUAUUGGCUUGAGAAGAUAAUCACAGGCUCCAUGCUGAACGCCUUUCAUAACCUGACUGGUUUCUCCAUCAACAGACAUCAUAAUAACAGGAAGAUCCAUCUCGAGUCCAACAUGUUCUAGAAGUUUAAAACCAUCCAUGUCUGGCAUGUUGACAUCACUGAUCACUAUGUCAUAUCCAUCUUUCCUCUCACGAAGCAAGUGCAGAGCAUCUCUUGCUAAACCACAAGUGGUCACUUCGUAAGAGCACUUCCUGAGCAUCUUUUCAAGAAUUUUCAACCAGAUGGGAUCGUCAUCGACAACAAGAACACGGAGACCAGCAGGAAACGCAUCGUUUCGAAGGGAAGAGAAACCAUUGUCCAUCAUGGGCGGCUCAGAAUCAAGAAUCAAGAGACAACUCAAAAGACAGAAGUGUUCGUCGAGUGAGAUGUAGAAAAAAAGGGG
rnacentral:misc_RNA from 1 species